UACGUAGGGCGCAAGCGUUAUCCGGAAUUACUGGGCGUAAAGGGCUCGUAGGCGGCCAACUAAGUCAGACGUGAAAUCCCUCGGCUUAACCGGGGAACUGCGUCUGAUACUGGAUGGCUUGAGAUUGGGAGAGGGAUGCGGAAUUCCAGGUGUAGCGGUGAAAUGCGUAGAUAUCUGGAGGAACACCGGUGGCGAAGGCGGCAUCCUGGACCAACACUGACGCUGAGGAGCGAAAAGCCAGGGGGAGCAAACGGGG
rnacentral:rRNA from 1 species